CCUACGGGUGGCAGCAGUCGAGAAUCAUUCACAAUGGGGGAAACCCUGAUGGUGCGACGCCGCGUGGGGGAAUGAAGGUCUUCGGAUUGUAAACCCCUGUCAUGUGGGAGCAAAUUAAAAAGAUAGUACCACAAGAGGAAGAGACGGCUAACUCUGUGCCAGCAGCCGCGGUAAUACAGAGGUCUCAAGCGUUGUUCGGAAUCACGGGGCGUAAGGCGUGCGUAGGCGGUUUCGUAAGUCGUGUGUGAAAGGCGCGGGCUCAACCCGCGGACGGCACAUGAUACUGCGAGACUAGAGUAAUGGAGGGGGAACCGGAAUUCUCGGUGUAGCAGUGAAAUGCGUAGAUAUCGAGAGGAACACUCGUGGCGAAGGCGGGUUCCUGGACAUUAACUGACGCUGAGGCACGAAGGCCAGGGGAGCGAAAGGGAUUAGAUACCCCGGUAGUC
rnacentral:rRNA from 1 species